rnacentral:tRNA from 1 species
GCCCUCGUAGCUCAAUGGAUAGAGCACUUGACUUCGGAUCAAGUGGUUGUGAGUUCGAAUCUCGCCGAGGGCG